AUGAGAUGGUCCUCUCGUAAGCGUCUGUAACGAGCUGAGCAGAACUUGAUUUGCUCGACUUAUCCUCGCGUACGAAAGAUACCCGGUCUUCGCUACUGGCAGCACUCUGGCGCGGGAUGUCACUGAAGUUCAGUGGCUGAUCGUCGUAAGCCGGAUUCACGCAUGAAGGCGAUAACGAAACGGGCAGGCCACUGCUGUCCAGCUGCGCGGCCCGAGGUGUCCACGAGUACUCCCCACCGGCCCAAAUGUGAGAAAUCGGUGGAGGCACAGGAACGUUCGGGGUGCG
rnacentral:lncRNA from 1 species